UAUGUGAUCGUCUCUCGCAUAUCAAUAAGCGGAGGAAAAGAAACUAACAAGGAUUCCCCUAGUAACGGCGAGUGAAGCGGGAAGAGCUCAAAUUUGAAAUCUUAAAGGGUUUCCCUUUACGAAUUGUAGUUUAAAGAAGUGUUUUCUGUUGAGGUUUUGGUAAAAGUUCUUUGGAAUAGGACAUCAUAGAGGGUGAGAAUCCCGUAUUUGACCUUUACUUUCAACUUUGUGAUACACUUUCAAAGAGUCGGAUUGUUUGGGAAUGCAGUCCAAAAUGGGUGGUAAAUUUCAUCUAAAGCUAAAUAUUGGCGAGAGACCGAUAGCGAACAAGUACCGUGAGGGAAAGAUGAAAAGAACUUUGAAAAGAGAGUUAAACAGUACGUGAAAUUGUCAAAAGGGAAGCGUUUGACACCAGUGUUGUUUUUCUGAAAAUCAAUUAAAGAACUGUUUAUGCUAAGCUGUUUAGACUUUAUCAGCUAAUCUGUUUAGUUUUAAGCUUUUCUUUAAUGCACUUUUCAGUUAACAAGUCAACAUCAAUUUCUUUUGCUGUAAAAAAGCUUGAGGAAGGUGGCUUGAGAUUCGUCUUAAGUGUUUAUAGCCUCUUGCCUAUGCAGUCGGAGAGAUUGAGGUCUGCAGCGUAGAUCCUUCGGGGCUAAAUGCAUUUGUGCUAAGUUAUAACAUUUUAUAGACAACUUGUUGACUAUGAUUUGUCUUGUAGCUUACUCGCUUAUGUUAUUUUACCUACGCUUAGGAUGUUGAAUCUGUGCGAGACUAC
rnacentral:rRNA from 1 species